CGCACUCUUGCAUCACCCGGUGAAAAUGGCAUUCGAAGCGUCUUCGUCCUUGGGCCUAACCAACAAGACAAGUGCAGCUGCUGAUCCCAAAGUCGGUCUUUUGAAGGAACUGAAGAGUCACGAAAUCGCCAUAGAUGAGCUCAACCAUCUUCCAUCUUCUAGGGGAAACAUGCACUUCCUUGUAACUGGCUAGGCUUGAGAAGACACAUAAACAACUUUAGGAUUUCAUUUUUCCUAAUGUAGGCUGUCUAUCAGAGAAAUGGGAACUUAUUUUUCCGCACAACUAUCCAAAAAGCAAAAGCAAUGGAGCAGAAAGAACUUGAUUCAGCCAAGGCAACACUGAAAGUUCUGGAUUCUUCCUCAUAGCCAUAGUGCUUACGUAUUUUCUGAGCGUUGAUGGUAAGUCGCUGGAGAUUCACUCAAGAUCUGUGAUAUUGUAAUGUACUAGAUUCUGUAAGUUGCAUAAAAUGCUUUCACUUCAGUGAUUUAAUUCUAGGCUACAUGAUGAAUGUGUUGUGAAUAUAUUUCCUUUUUGGUUUUUCAA